rnacentral:rRNA from 1 species
ACGCUCGACACCUACGGUAGGCAGCAGUUGGGAAUAUUGGACAAUGGAGGAAACUCUGAUCCAGUGACGCCGCGUGAAGGAAGAAGGUCUUCGGAUUGUAAACUUAUUUUGUCAGGGAAGAAAAAUGACUGUACCUGAAGAAAAAGCACCGGCUAACUACGUGCCCGACAGCCGCGGUAAUCUGAGCGGGCUGGCAAGGC